GUAACCCUUAGUGAUACUUAUUCACUGCACCACACCUUCCUCCAGGUGCCUCUGCCCUUGGAGUGCAUGUGUGAACCAAUUCAAUCAUAAGGGGGAAUCCAAGCCUUUACAAUGCCGUAGGACCUGAGAUGUCCAGCCCAAGAGUGCCAGAUGCACACCCCCUCAGGCCCCUCCUCAGGCCCCUCUUCAGGCAUGUGUGCCAUGCUUCAGAACAUGCCCGAGGCAGCACUUGGUGGGAUUAUUCUGGAAACUCGGCCCCUGGGAUUGUGUUACCAAAAUGAGACGGUCAAAUGCAGUGAAAUGGCCUGAGUGACAAGGGCUGCUGUUAGUCUACCCGUGAUGUUUCCUUACUGAUAUGUUAUUCAUUGUUGAUGUUUGUAACUCUUGUCACAAUUAAUGGUGGAAUAAUCCUUUCCUAUUCUGUAGUCAUAUUCAGAGAAUUGAUCACAGUCUUCAAGCGGUCCAUGUGUUUUUACACAGUCCUGGCUCUGUAAAUGGGAAAGAAAUAUGGUGGCUCAGACCAUGCCUUAAGAGCCAUGAACAAUCUCAACCAAUCAACACACAUGCCUCAAGAGCACGCAAGGGAGGGGUGUAAUAUGAUUGGCUGCUGUGUGCAAAAAAUCUAUAACCUUUUGUAAAACCAAAUCAUGGACUGCAUCUUGUGUACACGUACUGCACAUCUGCAUGAAUUUACAUAAUGACCUGAAGACAAAAUAGACAAAACACAAGACAUUAGUGCAGGCACACACUUCUCCAGAGACAUUACAGGCACACACUUCUCCAGAGAAACUUUCAACUUGGACAAAGGCCUUUGAGUCCUGCCCCCUAUGCCUCUCAGGCUCAUCUUACAUGCACUGCAGGUGUCACUGAGUGAAAUGAAAUCGUACUCCAAUCCAUGUAAUGCAGAAUAUUUACAAUGUAAGUUUAUGUUUAUGUUUGUUUAUGUUUAUGCAUGUAGCUGACGCUUUUAUCCAGAGCGACUUACCAAUUGCAGGAGCCAGUCUCCCUGGAGCAACUUAAGUGCCUUGCUCAAGGACACAAUGGUGGCAGUUGGG